AGCCUCUUCCUCCCAGGUCCUGCCCUGCUCAGGGUGGCUAUGAGAAGAGCUUUGAAGACAACCAAGAAAGGAGGUGACCCCAUGAAAGGGUCUCUCAUUGAGAACUGCUGCAACAGCUCCCUCAGCCCUGGAAGUGCACUUUCCAGAUCAGCAAAGUCUUCCAACAGUCACAGCUCAGCUCUGGGCUGGUUCCCAAGUCCUCCCAUGAUUGCCACCUCUGGACACUGGCUCCUGCUGCCAACCACCUAAACCCCAAAGUAAACACUCAGA